AUGCAAGUCGAACGGUAACAGGCAGGAGCUUGCUUCUGCGCUGACGAGUGGCGGACGGGUGAGUAACGCGUGGGAAUCUACCCAGUAGCGGGGGACAACUCGGGGAAACUCGAGCUAAUACCGCAUACGCCCUUAGGGGGAAAGGCUUCGGCCACUAUUGGAUGAGCCCGCGUCCGAUUAGUUUGUUGGUAGGGUAAUGGCCUACCAAGACUACGAUCGGUAGCUGGUCUGAGAGGACGAUCAGCCACACUGGGACUGAGACACGGCCCAGACUCC
rnacentral:rRNA from 2 species